GGAGCCAAGUCCGGGUGCCAUGGCUCGAAGCGAAACUUUCUCACCCUGUGGACCUCCACGAACCAGUGGUCAAACUAGGAAAUAAAAAAGUGGUCAUCCUCAAGGCUGAAGGCUUUCGGUGGACAAAACCUCAGCGAUCGUUCUGAAUGCCAACACAUUCUGAGUAGCAGCAGGUACCAAGAUUAACACUCCCUCCUCUUUUUUAAAACGUCCUUUCAAACAUGUUUGCACUGAAAGAUGUUUCUCUGGAAUAUUGUGUCUGACUGUCUGCAGUGAAUUGAACUGAGACCUUGAACAAGCAAAGAUGGAUCUUCAAUAGAUUCCCAAUGGAGAAAAAGUGCUCCAUCAGCUGUUUUGCAUGACCCUGAUUAAACUCUCCUGGUUUCCAUGGCACUUAUCCCAUCUCCUCCAUCGAGUUUUCAUCAUUCAGUUCUACCAUUGCAUUCCAGUUCCAAACACGUGAGUUGUUCUUAUUUUAUUAUUCUGCUUACCAUUACACAUCUGAUGUCUUGCUUGUUUCAAGGGAUUUUUGGUCGAUAUCCGAUAUGCUGAUGCACUAAAACUCAUUUGGCUGACAACCAUAUAGUUUCAGUAAAAUAUAGCUUUACUGAAACUAUAUGGCUUUCUCUACUGUGGAAUUAAAAUGCUGCCAAAUGCAAAUGCCAAGAAGGAGGCUGAAAACGUUGUAACACUUUCAGCUUGCGUUCUGUUUAAUGUCAAAUUUAUUCAUGACAUUUCCUCUCUAAGACGAUGACGAUACUCAAACAUUGUAAAUUUGCCUUUGUGCUGUGCUCCCGGCAUCAUUGUCACUGGUUUGUCACAUAAAAUCAAUGCCUUCUGACAGAAUGGCCGAUGUCCAAUAUUAAAUUUUACUGUCGAUAUCGUCCAUCCCUACUUGUUUCUCAUUUGUUUCCAACUCUACAACCUCAAAAUGUGAUACAAGUGGUUCAGAUUCACAUUUUUCACUGUGUUUGAAGUACUCUGGGGCCGUCAUUUAUACAUUAUUCCAUUUAUUACUGUC